UAACAAGGAUUCCCAAAGUAACGGCGAGUGAACUGGGRAAAGCCCAACGCUGAAUCUUUCGAUUUUAUAUCGUGAAGAAAUGUAGCGUAUAGGUAUGAUUGUCGGUUUGUUUAGCAUGUCCAAAGUUCCUUUGAUAGGGACCAUAUUCCGGAGAGGGUGCGAGACCUGUGCGGACAGUUGAACAUACCGUAUGGUUAUACCGUAGAGUCGGGUUGCUUGAAAGUGCAGCCUUAAGUGGGUGAUAAACUUCAUCUAAGGCUAAAUACGAACGCGAAUUCGAUAGCAAACAAGUACUGUGAAGGAAAGUUGCAAAGAACUUUGAAGAGAGAGUUCAAGAGAACGUGAAAUCGUUGAAGUGGAACCGGAGAGAAUUGACGUAGUCUGGUGGAUAAGUAUUGCAAGAAUCGUAUUCAUAUAUAUAUAUAUAUAUGAAUGUGAUCAAGUAAUAUGUAUACCAUCAAUGACUGUGCUGACAGUAUCGGUUACACGAUCUGAACCCGUGUUGACAUGUUGCUCAUUCUAUUCUAUAGAAUGGUGUCUUGUGUUAUGUGGUAAGGUUUGUUGUUAGCUGAUAUUGAUUAAUGAUAAUUAUUUUUAAAUAAUUAUUAUGUCAGCAUAGAAGUCAACCACCUCUCCGACCCGUCUUGAAACACGGACCGAGGAGUGUAAUUUGUACGCAAGUGAAUAGGUGAAAAACCUUAAGGCGAAAUGAAAGUGAAGGCACGGUUAACCGGCUGACAUGGGAAACGUUCGUAUGCAUAUAUUUGGCGAAACGUCACACCAUGGCCCUGUCUUGUCUGCGUGCAGAUGGGCAGCGGUAGAGCGUACAGGUUGCGACCCGAAAGAUGGUGAACUAUGCCUGAGCAGGACGAAGUCAGAGGAAACUCUGAUGGAAGUCCGUAUCGGUUCUGACGUGCAAAUCGAUCGAUAGACUUAGGUAUAGGGGCGAAAGACUAAUCGAACCAUCUAGUAGCUGGUUCCCUCCGAAGUUUCCC
rnacentral:rRNA from 1 species